CGGCACUUCCGGGUUGGCCUUCUCCAUGUUGGUCUCGGGAACGUGAAGGGGCGGGGCCUCGAGGUCAGGGGUCAGCGCCUCCCUGGUUGCCGUGGCGACUGGAGCACGCGACGCGGGCGCGAUGGCGGGGACUCUAGGCCCGGGACUUGAUGCUGCUUGGGCCUGGCCCAGUGGCGGGUCCUGGGGACGUGGCAGAGGCCGGCAGUUGACGAUGAAAUUAUUGGGAGUUUGUGAAUGAGAGUACAGAACACCUGUGGGCCUGAGUAUUAGACUUGAAUUCUAAUCCUGGUUCUACAAACUAAAGAGUUAUA
rnacentral:lncRNA from 1 species